AUCCGAUGAAGUGAGCUGUAGCUCACGAAAGCUUAUGCUCAAAUAAAUUUGUUAGUCUCUAAGGUGCCACAAGUACUCCUUUUUCUUUUUAGAGUCUACUGAGGUAUUUUUCUCCUUUUUGUGUAAGUGUUCGCAGACAAGCUGUUUCCUUUCAUCUGGAAAAAAACAACUGAGCAGGGAGAACUGCUGUGCUUUGAAACUGUCUCUUGCUUUGUUCUGGCUCUAAAACUGCUGUUAAGGAUAACAUACUAUCUUUGUAAAAUAUCUGUUAUGGUUCCUUCCACUUUCCUUUGUUUCAGAAGACUUCCUCAAGUUCAGUGCCAUGUUUUCUGCAAAGACUUUGCUAAAAUAAUUAUUUUGUUUAAUCAAUUUGGGCCCUGCAGAUCUCCCCUCUCUCUCUCUCGUGACUUCCUUCAAACUUGUGAUUCAGAAUUACUUAAAUUCUUUAUUUCUAAUGACUUUUCAGUUAAUUUAAUAUGAAAGUAUUUAAUUAUACAAGGUGUCUCUCUCUGCUUCCCCUCCUCCCCCAACCUCCUGCCACUUGGAGCUUUGCCUUUGAUUCCAGACACAUGCAGCAGCAAAUUCUGACUUGGCAAUUCUUGUUUGUGUUAAUUAUCACGAAAUUAACCUUAAAAGCACCAGUGGUGCUGCUUUAGUGUGCACAGGAAUGGGUGGUUUAAGCAGAUUAGUGCCAAGUUUGACUGUACAUUAAACUAGGCCAAAGAAAUUGGGAGACAGUGGAAAAUGUCAUGGAGUUGGAGAAAUAAUACACAGGGGUCUAGAGAGGCUAAAAAUAUAGACAUGAAAUAACCCAAUGAGAACUGUGAAUUAGACUUUUUUCCAAUAGAAGUUGUCCCUUCAGGUCAGAGUUGAGAUUUGUUUGGCAGAGAGUGGUUUGAAGAAGUUUGCAUUACUGAUUUUUGCUCUACUUAUUUGGUACCUAGGAUUUUAGUCUCCAGGACUCAGUCACUAAAUUCACUGGAAGAAGAACUGUAAUAGAAGUAUUGGGAGGGGACAGAGGCAAUUGUCAUUCAGUCAGGGGUAAUACAAGAGAAUGCACCUGGGCAAUAAUCAUCAGAAACUCGGAGAUUCUUUGGAAAGAAGAUAAUAAGAUGCCAAAAGAAAGCUAGGGGAGAUGGUGAACGGUAUAUUGGAUAGCAGCUUACAAUGCAGUAAGGAAACCAAGAUAAAGACAACUUUGGGUUGCAUGAGCAGAGGUAUUGCUUCAUGGGCUAUGCCCAUGGUGUUCCCUCUGCACCAGCAUUGAUGAGACAAAAGCUAAGAAUACUAUAUUUACCUCAGCUACUAGAAACACAUUGAUUUGGACGGAAUUCCAAGAAGAAAACUCAAAGAUUAGCUAAAAUUAUUGCCAUUUGUCAAGGGAAUGUUGGGAAUGUAACUGUUUACUGUUUGUACAAAGAGCAAGGAGGAGAUGAAUCCAGUGUUCAGACAGGCAGGGGUGUAUAACUAGGACUAAUGGGAUGAAACUGAACAAAUUAAAACCUCGUCUGACUAUCAGGAAACCUUUCCUGUUACUGAGGUUCUAGACUAGUCUCAGAAGCGGUGGGUAUCCCAUCGCUUUUAAUUAAUUCAAAACUAGACUAGACAAAGCACUUCAGUAUGCAGUGGGGAAUGGAUGAAGCUGGCUUGGGGAUGGACAUAGUGACCUACCUAAAACAGUGGUCCUCCGGUGAUUUUUUUUCAUACUGUGGAGCUCAUCCUUUUAUGCAUCAGCCUCCUGCCUUUAUCUUACAUCUUUCCUGUGAUGGCAACAGUAUUUGGUUAUCUGGAAAAAUACCAAUAGGACAGUCGUGGGGAGACAAUGUGAACAUGAACUCUAUUAAGAUGGUUAUGGCUCCUUGAUUUAGGGUAUUUUGUUACCUCCCCGCUCCAUUUUUUACUUGUAUUAUUUUGUCCUUCCAGAACAGGACUGCAUUUAUUAGGGCUGAAUCUCCUUUCAUUGCCUGUGGCCCCUCCUGAACUAAUCUAUCCAGGCCAUGUUACUUUGGUCCUGCUCCCCCACCCUUUUUUCCCCCCACCCUUCUAGUCUUGGUGUCAUUGGCAAAUUUCCUCAUUGUUCAACUUAUGCCAAGGAAACACAUGACAGACACAAACCAGCUACACAGGAUCUUGAGUUAAUUAACUUCUCUGAAAGAGUCCUGCACUGGGUUACAACUAGCAGGAUGAAUCACUCAUUGAAGUUAAUGGAUACUUCACCACUGCAAUAGAUGUAACAUUGCAGGCACCUGGCAGUACUUCAUGGACCAGGGUUUGAAAAUUAUCAGCCAAAUUGAAUAGGUAUUUUCUGCCUCUAACAUCUAUAAAAUAUAUUAGGACUAUGGAACUUGACAGAAGUUCUCAUCUGAUUUGCAAGAUGAGUCUAGACGAAGCAUGACACUUUAAAGUGAGAGCUUCAGCGUUAGUAUUUGGAAAUGGUAUAAAACUGUAGCGUAUAGACAAUAGUUAAAGAGUCCAGAUGACCCCAGAAAUGAAGUGUGCUCCUCUGUAUUAGCUAGCACAUUGGUAGUAAUGACACUAUGAUAUAGCACAACUUCUGGAGUUGGCGACUUGUCCGGCAGAGAGGCCAGGGAUCUUGGGCAAACUAUUUUGUUUCAUACCUCCAUAAGAAAAAUGGGGCUAAUGAUACCUUUCUAAAGCCUUUAGAGGUCUGCGGAUGAGAAGUGCUGUAAGUGUUGCUGAUCAUAAUCCUUUCCAUUCCUAGUGGUCCUGAAGUUUAUAUUUCUUCGUGGCUGUCCCCCGUCUCCUGCAUUGUUCUGGCUUAGGUAAUGCCACCACUUAUCCUGCUCAAUUUAAAACAAAAGUAAAAACAAACAGACUUGCAGAUCUGAUCUCUAAUGUGAUACGGCAGAUGGUAAAAUCUGAAAUUAGGCAGCAGCAGUCUCUUAUCUGAGGCCUGUAAACAAAGCUGAACUGCAAAAUUUUCUUUAAUGAGCUAAAUGUAUUCCUGGGUGCUGAAGCCUCAAACAGUAAAGAUAAAAGGGGGCAUUUAGCAUGCAGUGAGUUUCUAAACCAACCUUUUUAUUCAUUUCAGCCCCCCCAGAAAUCAUUCCAUCCAACUCCAGGGCUGUUAGAAUGCCCUAGAAUGCAUCAUUUGGUGAUGUCAUAAUUAUCCCUGGGGCCAUGCUAUGGCAUGGAGCCAGGCUAUUUGUAGCUAAGGUAAGUGGCAUUUUUAUUAUAUUGAUGUGGUUUUUGAAAGAUGCCAUAUACCCUUUGUGGUUAGAAUUAAUUUUGCAAAACCGUCCUCUAUAAUAAAUGCCGCUUACCUGAGACCCAGCUCUGCUCUCCACGGGGGCUAGAAUGGAAGUUCUGAUGAUGCAGAAUUAUGUAUUCUGGAGUGUCAGCAGAGCAGGACUUGGCAGUGGGUAACAUCAAGGAGAUGAAAGUGUUGUGUGAGUUAAAAAAACCACAGCUGUUUGGGCUGGCACAUUAGUGUUGGCUAUGGCAACUGCUACUCAGGGUAGCACUCUCAGCUCAUUGCAAACAGAAAAGGAAGCUGUCUCCCAAAUUUUAGCUCUAAGAAAACUUAUCCUGUGCGUGAACAAGUAUCAGGUAUUCGUGCCAUGUGAUCUAGGGGUAAUGUACAUAUGGUGUGUGUGUGUGUGUGCGAAAUUGAGAGGAAGAGAAAUAGAUGCUAAAUCAGAAAGCAGCAGGAGAGCCUAGGGAAUUGGUAAGUAGAACGGGAAGGAGUACAAUUAUAUAUUUGCAAAAAGAAAAGACGUACUUGUGGCACGUUAGAGACUAACAAAUUUAUUCGAGCAUAAGCUUUCGUGAGCUACAGCUCACUUCAUCGGAUGCGUUCAGUGGAAUUCAGUUUUCCACUGAAUGCAUCCGAUGAAGUGAGUUGUAGCUCACGAAAGCUUAUGCUCGAAUAAAUUGGUUAGUCUCUAAGGUGCCACAAGUACUCCUUUUCUUUUUGCAAAUACAGACUAACAUGGCUGCUAUUCUGAAACCUAUUAUAUAUUUGUAUUUUACUGGUAUUUGAUACUCAGUUUCAGCGCCUUAGUGGCUUACCUGAAAUAAUUUGGGGGUCUCUGUCCUUGAUAGGUCACGGAAAACUGCUGGUGCUUAAUGGUCCCCUUGAAAUCUCAGCAGAGAGGCCAAGUUUUGAAUGGAUCAUGGUGACCGUUACCCACUCCUUGCAAUAGAUAAGGUGGGGGAAGCUUGUACUGCUACUGCCCAAAGUGCACCUGUUCCUGAAAAUGGAUGGUUGCGUAGAUAAUAUUGCAAAACAAAAGUUGGCAAUGUUCAUUUGGCCAGUAUGCUAUUUCUGUAGGAUUGAGUGACGCAGAGUUCUGUGCUAGCCAAAUCUGAGAGCCAGAGGCUUUCAACCAGUGAUGUGCAUCCUCCCUCCUUCUCUUUCUAUGCCUUAUUUCUGGUAUGAAAUAAAAAUUUUAAAUUGAAGCAUAGGGGGACAGCCCAGUGGUCCCAGCGGUAAUUCUGAGUGUAGCAGAGACAUCACUCCCAGCUCAAAACUUGUAACGGAGGCUGGAAGCAGAAGGCUGGCUACCAAUUGUAUAAGCAAAUAGCUUUCCUCCAAAUAGAGGCUGCCAGACGUCCAGAGGACUACAGAGAUCAAAAAAAGGAACACGCAAGGUAAGCAACACUUUCUUGUGGUAACAACUAGGAGAGCAGCUAGGCCUGCUCGGGUCCUGUAAACCGACAUUUAUUCCAGCUGAGUGCAGGCGUGCUCAGAGAGAGGCUCCUGUAGUAGAGACUAAUGGAGAUGGCACGGCCAGUAAAUCUGUCAGACAGCAAUGGGUGUAUUUCCGCAUUAGACCAUUGUCUCAGUGGGCCAGAGUCAGAUUUGAGGUGGAAAAUAUCAACCACUGUUUUUUGCUUUCCUCUCUCUUCAGGUAGCCUUUCUGAAAAACUCAUAAACCACUGGCAAACUCUUGGGCUGGUAUCAGGUGUGAUAGGCUCCCAGGCUAUUUUACCUUGUGCUGUCUUCACUCAUAUUUAGCCCUCAGUCCAACAUCGCUUUAUAGAAUUUAUUGAAGAGACUCCUCUGGACACCUUGUGUUCACUGUCUUUCAGAUGAGAGAGAAAACUGAGAGUCGGUCUGCCUGCUGAUAAAGAUCUCUAACUCGAUUUAUGCAGUGCCUAUCACUGUGGUAUCUGAGCAAAACUCUCCCCAAGAGAUGGUAUUAACCUAGCUGUCCUGGCUAAAUUCCAAUAUAGGUAGAAUGUGAUUAAUCAUCUAAUUUCCUUCCUAUAGUUUCAGUUGGAUGCA